GUUAGGAUAUUACAAGCCCAAAACAAGUUCAGAAGUGAUCAGAAUUGAGAUCAAAACUCUCAACUCUCAAGUAAAAGCAAAACUCAUGCAACAUUUGAUUAAUACCGAGUCAAUCCUAAUCACUUUUAAUUAUUUUACUGCAACAUAAAUUUAAAAUUGUUGUAAAAAAGGCCCAUUUAAUCACUGACUGCACAUCUCACAGUUUGUUAUCAAACGUUAGCUAACAUUUGGAAUCUCUACUGGUAAUAAAAUCUGUUAUUGCAAUGGGCUUAAGUCUUGGUCGCAUGUUGGCUGCUUCUCUAGAGCUGAUCGAAACCGGCUUAGGCUGGAUUGAAGAGACGCGUGAUCGCUAUGUUAAUUACUUAGUAAUCUGGUUUUAUUUGAACAAGGAGCAGAUCUGGAUCAAGAUUGCUAUGGUUUGUUACCUCAAACCUAUGCAGUUUGGCUCAUGUCUCCAUUUCAGAAAAAGAGUUUGUCACAAGCUGGUGUACUGUACAUGUCUACUGGCUACAAAAAGACUGUCGCGAGGCAAUAGUCUGCUGUGUGCUGGUUACAUGUCCUUAGACAGAGUCAUUCUCUGAUCACACAAUAGAGCAACGUGCUUUUGGCAAGGGCCGAUAAAGAUGUUGUUGGUAAUCGGUGGAUGCAGAGAGUAUCAUGAAUGGGUGCAGUUACACGCAACAUGAUAACACUAAGGUGGACUUAUGGCGAGUUUGCUCCUGGACUCUUGGUUUCAAUGGCAUUGCUCUGAAGAGUGUUGUGUGUAUGCAAAAUUAUGUUCAAGAAACACCCCGUUGUGUGUCUGGUAGUUGUUCUUCAGCUGGCACUAAUAUUUAAGAAUAGCCCUCUUUUAGGGUAUGAAGUGGCUGUACCGAGGUGGGAAGCGACCUGGAUAGCAGGGAUGUCAAUGUUUUCCCCAGCCUUUCUCACUUACAAAAUUUUUGUGGAAAUAAAAAAAUUCAAGUUAUCAUGGAAGAAAAACAGGAAGGUAUUCUGUGUAGGUAUGUUCUUGGACACCUGAGGACCCAUAAGCAAGAAAUCGCAUUUCCAACAAUACUAAUUGAAGUGGUGGUGCACAUACUGUAAACGUGAAGAAUAUCUAAGUGUUUGUUAAUAUAUCUGUAUAUGUUGUUGAUACAAUUUGAAGUAGUGUGAUUUUAGUAAUUCGAUGAGUCAUACAGUUUGCACAAUUGUGUUUUUUUGGGACUAGAACACAUUGUUUGUACAUAAUACAUGAAGUUAUAAACUUUAUGAGUAUAAAGAUUGUACUGUCAGAUUU